CUCUGCCACUUGCAUCACCGAUGCAACAGACCGAUUGUCCACCACAACAUCAACUCUGAAAACAUCUUGCUUGAUCAGAAUUUCAAGGCCGUGAUAGCCAGCUUUGGCAUUGCGCAGAUGAACAUUGCCGGGCUUAACCAACCAUUGCCGAUCGGGGACAUUCCAGUUGGUAACUUUGGGUAUGCAGCUCCAGAGUAUGGUGUCGCGGCAAGCCAGCUGACGGAGAAGGUAGACAUUUACAGCUUCGGUGUGCUGCUGCUGGAGCUAGUCACAGGGAAGUUGGCCAAUGGAGCAGAUGGUCUAUUGGCGAUUUGGGCUCAGGACAACUGCAAUGAAUUGAUGGCAAACCAUCUGAAAAUGUUCAAGAUUGUCGUGGACAAGGGCAUCCCUGAUCAAGCGCGGUACAUGGAGGAGAUGGCGGCCGUGUUCAGGCUGGGUGUGGAUUGUACCGUUGGAGAUCCGAAGCAAAGGCCGUCCAUGCAGAUAGCUCUCAAACGACUGUGCCGCAGCCGUGGGCGUGGCCCAUUCCGUGGCCUCCUCAUCCUGUAA
rnacentral:rRNA from 1 species